AGCGAACGCUGGCGGCAGGCCUAACACAUGCAAGUCGAACGAACUCUUCGGAGUUAGUGGCGGACGGGUGAGUAACACGUGGGAACGUGCCUUUUGGUUCGGAAUAACUCAGGGAAACUUGUGCUAAUACCGAAUGCGCCCUUCGGGGGAAAGAUUUAUCGCCAUUAGAGCGGCCCGCGUCUGAUUAGCUAGUUGGUGAGGUAACGGCUCACCAAGGCGACGAUCAGUAGCUGGUCUGAGAGGAUGACCAGCCACACUGGGACUGAGACACGGCCCAGACUCCUACGGGAGGCAGCAGUGGGGAAUCUUGCGCAAUGGGCGAAAGCCUGACGCAGCCAUGCCGCGUGAAUGAUGAUGGUCUUAGGAUUGUAAAAUUCUUUCACCGGGGACGAUAAUGACGGUACCCGGAGAAGAAGCCCCGGCUAACUUCGUG
rnacentral:rRNA from 1 species